AAUCAACGCUGGCGGCGUGCCUCAGACAUGCAAGUCGAACGCGAAAGUUUCCUUCGGGAGAUGAGUAGAGUGGCGCACGGGUGAGUAACACGUAGGUAAUUUACCUUUGGGUGGGAAUAACAAUCGGAAACGAUUGCUAAUACCGCAUAAUGCAGCGGCUCGACAUCGAGACAGUUGUUAAAGCGGGGGAGUUUUCGGUACCUCGUGCC
rnacentral:rRNA from 1 species